UGGACAAGUCCUUGAAACAGGCAGAAUGACAUUCCUCUAAGGACUCAACUGCCUCGAUGUUAAUGUUUUUGCUAAGGGAACUUAAAGGCAACUUUAGCCCGACCCCCAGGAUCUUAAAGAGAGGGGUACUGGGAAGCAUGACCCUGCUCACUGAACCAGUUUGGAGACUGCAAAGGGAAGGACUGGCACAGAGAAUGGAGUACUGGCUUUGCCAUGAGCAUUGUGUUUGUGAACAAGGAAACUAUAUAAAGGACUUAAAUAGCCUUUGGAGAGAUUUAAAAGCUAUCAUUGACAACUCACUUCUCAGCCUUUGCAUAAGGGGUGGGAAGAGAGUGGCUACACAAAUUCAGACCGGAAAAAAAUACAAUGAGGACAAAUGCUCCCAAACAACAUGAUGGGAGAAGAACAGAGUUUCAUGUCAUCUUUUAGAAUUAGAAAUGCCAAAUUGGUAUAUUCCUUGUGGAAAACUUUCUUUUAAACGAAGCACACAUCGUACAUAAAGGAAAUCUGAGUAGUAAGACUGAAUAAGAAGAACUAUAGGAUAUACAACCUUCAAUAACAUUGUUACAGUUGUAAUUUAAUCAUAAAACAUUUGAGAAUUACAAACCAUGAUCUUCUAGUCUGUUUGAUUUGACAUUCUGAAAUUCCCUACACCAUUUCGUAAAUAUACUUAUACACCUUGUCAUUUUUUUCUUUGAAAUAAAACUGCAACUAGAUUUGAGCCAUCUUUGCAAGAUGUAUUUUGCAUUAUGAAUAUGUUCACAUGAUAUGUCUAAGACUAGCUUCACAGUAAAUCAAUGCA